UUCCGUUCGCUGCUGGUCUUGCCUUGUUCUCCCGCCGCCGCCGCCGCCUGCGCCCCCGCUCUGGUCCGUGGUGCCGCCGGACCAGCACCAUGUCUCUCUCGCGCUCAGAGGAAAUGCACCGUCUCACGGAAAAUGUCUACAAGACCAUCAUGGAGCAGUUUAACCCCAGCCUGCGAAACUUCAUCGCCAUGGGGAAGAACUACGAGAAAGCCCUGGCAGGUGUGACGUAUGCAGCCAAAGGCUAUUUCGAUGCCCUCGUGAAGAUGGGCGAGCUGGCCAGCGAGAGCCAGGGCUCCAAGGAACUCGGAGAUGUUCUCUUCCAGAUGGCCGAAGUCCACAGGCAGAUUCAAAAUCAGUUGGAGGAAAUGCUGAAGUCCUUUCACAACGAGCUGCUCACACAGCUGGAGCAGAAGGUGGAGCUGGACUCCAGGUACCUGAGUGCUGCACUGAAGAAAUACCAGACGGAGCAGAGGAGCAAAGGCGAUGCGCUAGACAAGUGCCAGGCCGAGCUGAAGAAGCUGCGCAAGAAGAGCCAAGGGAGCAAAAACCCCCAGAAGUACUCGGACAAGGAGCUGCAGUACAUCGAUGCCAUCAGCAACAAACAGGGUGAGCUGGAGAACUACGUGUCAGACGGCUACAAGACAGCCCUCACCGAGGAGCGGAGGAGGUUCUGCUUCCUGGUGGAGAAGCAGUGCGCCGUGGCCAAGAACUCCGCAGCCUACCAUUCCAAGGGCAAGGAGCUGCUUGCCCAGAAGCUGCCGCUGUGGCAGCAGGCGUGUGCCGAUCCCAACAAGAUUCCAGACCGCGCCGUGCAGCUCAUGCAACAGAUGGCCAACAGCAACGGCUCCAUCCUCCCCAGCACUCUGUCAGCCUCCAAGUCCAACCUGGUCAUCUCAGACCCCAUUCCAGGGGCCAAGCCCCUGCCGGUGCCCCCCGAGCUGGCCCCAUUUGUAGGGCGGCUGUCUGCCCAGGAGAAUGCACCCGUCAUGAACGGUGUCUCGGGCCCGGACAGCGAGGACUACAGCCCCUGGGCCGACCGAAAGGCCGCCCAGCCCAAGUCCUCAUCUCCUCCGCAGUCUCAGAACAAGCUGAGCGACUCCUACUCCAACACGCUCCCCGUGCGCAAGAGCGUGGCCCCGAAAAACAGCUACGCCACCACUGAGAACAAGACUCUGCCCCGCUCGAGCUCCAUGGCAGCCGGCCUGGAACGCAACGGCCGCAUGCGGGUGAAGGCCAUCUUCUCCCACGCAGCUGGGGACAACAGCACCCUGCUGAGCUUCAAGGAGGGCGACCUCAUCACCCUGCUGGUGCCUGAGGCCCGCGACGGCUGGCACUACGGCGAGAGCGAGAAGACCAAGAUGCGGGGCUGGUUUCCCUUCUCCUACACCCGGGUCCUGGACAGCGACGGCAGUGACCGGCUGCACAUGAGCCUACAGCCAGGGAAGAGCAGCAGCACAGGCAACCUCCUGGACAAGGAGGACCUGGCUAUCCCACCCCCUGACUACGGCACGGCCUCCCGCGCCUUCCCCGCCCAGACGGCUGGUACCUUCAAGCAGAGACCCUACAGUGUGGCUGUGCCUGCCUUCUCCCAGGGUCUGGAUGACUACGGGGCACGGGCUGUGAGCAGCGCCGAGGUGGAAGUGGCCAGGUUUUGAGCGCCCUGACUAGAGUUACCCCAGAUCACUGAAGAGGUUGCUACAUGAAGCUGGUACCUCGAUCCUUUAUAAAGGAUGGUGAUCACUUUAGUCCCACUGGGCGUCACAGCAACGCCAUCCUACCUGUGGGGAGCUGGACCACUUAAACAGAUCCUGGACUCUCAGUCUCCUUUCACCGCCUUUCUGUUGGUGAGCUGCAGUGUGAGUUCUGGAAAGUUCUGGAAUAACUCCUGAAAUUUGCGGACAGGGUGGAAAUGCCUUUGACCCUGGCUUAGCAGUGGGUGACCCUGGGCCAGCCUCCUUCCCUGCCUUAGAUUCCUCCUCUUCUGAGAAGGUGUCUCUAAGAGGCUUGCAUCCCCCACCUGCAGACAGUACAAACCCCCCACCUCUGCCACCCCUUGGUCCCUCUGAGCUGGUGGGGCCAAGCUUUCCUCGCGUGAGGGAGGCACAGGAAGGGCUGAAGCCUCCAGGACUCCAUCCCUUGGUAUAAGGCAGGCCUAGGGGGUGCUCGGCCCCAGGAGCAUGCAGCACGGCGCCACCAGCUAGGUUCCUGGCUGUUCCGAGUCUGCUCAGCCUGACUAUUCAGCUGGGGAUGGAGUAUGCAAAGCCACCACUGGUUGGUUGAGGGACCUGCCCAGCUUUGCCCGAGCUUACAGCCCUGGGAUGGGGGGCUGGGAAUGAGAACGACUCAAUUCCAGAAAGGCUGACAUUCUGAAGUCAUGGAAAAACCACUUAUGUCUUAGGAGGAGAAAGUUCAGGAGAAAGUGGAGACGUAUGCGGUAAUUGCUGUCUUUGCUCCUCUCUGCUCUGGAAUCACCAAAGGAUGGAAGUCGCACUUUGCCAUGACUUGGCUGUUCUCAGAAUUACAAUUUCUUACUCAAGUAGCGGACUCAAAAUCGCCUUAGAUGAUUCUCUAAAACCCGCAGCGACACAAGCUUCGUGAGCCUGGAAUUGAACGCUGCUCGACUGCAGCCUUCGACCCUCCUUAGGCUGUAGGGGUUUGCCAGGGGCAGAGGCAGUGGGGUCAGGACCCCUGUGCUGCCCGGGGUCCCUGAGGGCUGGCUGUCCAGGAGGCAGUGCAGGGCAGCCCUGCCCCCUUGAACUGCAGCCCGACCCACCCUCCCCCAGCAGGGGUCCAGCUUGUGCUUUCCUGAGCCAGGGGCUUCACGCCUGGUCCGUGCUGUGAGUGGAAAUCCGUUCUCUGUGUAAAGCCGCCAGUCCUCCCACGUCCCUGCUCAGGAGUCCCUUGGAGAGGGGACAGAGCUGCACCCCUGGCGUUCCUCAGCCAGUGCCCCCAGGGGGAGAGCCCCACACAGCCCCUCUGGGCCCCAAGCACUUGGGCGGUUCUUGUUGACUUGCUUUGCUGGCACAAGGAGCGUGUUUUGUGUCUUGGUUUGUUGUCAAUCAAUCGUCCGCCGACAGUGCUGUUGGGAGAAGGCUCGGUGCCUGGCGUCCGCCUCUUGGCAGGGACAAAUGUCUGGGGACGAGAGAAUCUGCAGUGGCCUUAGGUCAAAAUCUUGUUCUGUUUUGUCAUCCGGUCGGCGGUCACACAGGUACCCUCCCCAGGGUAGCUCAUGAACCCGUUCUUUCACAGAACAUUCCAGAAGGUGCUAGGCCCCUGAGCGGCCACACCCCUCCUCUGCUGCUGAGUGGUGGGAGGGUCCUGCCCAGGGGUCUCUGGCCAGAGCUGCGAGGGGGAGGGGACUGCGGGCCGCACCCGAUCCCUCAGAACCUGCAGUGUGGAGGCAGUGCGCUCCCUGGUUCAGGUCACACUGUUCUUGGGGGAGGAAAUAAGAAAAGGGGGGGUCAGAAGCCAGACCCCUGGCAGGGGAGACCCUUCCCAUCCCGCAGCUCCCUCUGGCCCCGGCUGACGAUGACGCUUUGCCACUGGCCUCUCUGAUGAGAAUUCAAGUGUGUCAGGACAGGAGUAAGGUGUGAGCUGCCCAAACCCACUCGGCCAUUUUGCCCCGGCUCUGGCCAGCACAGUGCUGUCCUCUCUUUUCUGGGGCACAGGGUCUGCGUUCCUCCCUCUGCUCCGUCCCUGAUCCUAGACGGACUCACGUGCCCCAUCUCCAGCCCCCCCAGGACCUCCUGCCUCUACUGUGGUUGGGCACAGCUGAGGGCACAAAGCCCUCUUCUAGAACCAAAGUCUGUAGUUCAGGUAGCAGCCAGGGCACGGGCCGUCCUCCACCCUCCAUCCCCGGGGCGGAUGUCCGUGUGCAUGGCAGAACCUCGCCUUUAGAACCUCCAGGUGGCCCCUGCCUGUGGCCGGCGUGGCUGAAGCUCGGCUGCUCCAUCAGAGCCGAGAGGCCCAAGUGAGCAGAGCCUGAGGCCUCCUGGGGGCUGGAGGCGCCUUUAAUCUGGGGCCGGAACGCUAAGUCAGAAGAUGCUCGUCAUCCGUGUGCAUGGGAGCCGCCGGACUCUCAGAUGUCCCCAAGGAGAUGCAGAAGCUGCGCAUCAAGGGUCAGCUGCCUCUCAGUAGUUUAGCCUUUUACAAACUCAAUCCAGGGAGUCUCCGCUUUUUAGAAAACCCCACGUCCUCAGGAAAACACAGGGCUGUCUGCCUGGGCACACUGGAGGGAGUGCCCGCCCGCCUGCCCAGCUCCCGUGGACGCCCAGCCCCGCUCUGCCAGAGGCGACUCCUGUCCAGGAAUCCCUUCGCCAACGUCCAGCUGAAGCCGACAGUGACCAAUGACAGGUCUGCCCCCCUCCUCAGCUGAUGGCCCCGUCUGCACCCGCUGCCCAUUGGGCCCUUCUUCCCCCACCUCCACCAGUAACCUGUUUUGUUACAACCUGCGUGGUCUCUGCUUAGAGAAUUUUCUCCUUCCGAGCCCUUCACCUGCCCAGAGCUCUACCCUCACAUCAGUCCGGCCUGGGCUGGACCCCGGCUGUUCCUGUGGAGGUGGCACCUGGCACCUGGAGCCGAGACCUGCUGCUGGGCCAUGGGGCCGGCCUCACAGGGUAGGCGCCUCUGGUUGUGCAGGCAUGAAGCCACCAGGGUGCAGGGAAGGACACUGCGUCAGCUUGUAGCUGGAAGGGGAGCCCAGCUCCCACUGCUCAUGCCUCCUAAGUGGUCAAUAAAUGGGCUGCCCCUUUGUGCCCAGCUGUGAUCUGUCAUCUCUGCCUCUGGGGGCAGAGGCCUGGGGUGCAGGGACCCGGAGAGCCUGCCACCCUUCUUUGGAAGAUGAGUUUAUUAUGAGCACUUAACUUUCUGGGUCCCCGAGCUGUGUGCCAUUGAGGGGGAGUCCCCCUCCCCACUACGGCUGCUUCCAUAUUUCAGCUGAAAUACAGAUUUUAGAAACUUUA